rnacentral:rRNA from 1 species
AAUAUUGCGCAAUGGAGGAAACUCUGACGCAGCGACGCCGCGUGAGCGAUGAAGGUCUUCGGCUCGUAGAGCUCUUUCCUUGGGGCAGAAGGUCUUCGGACUUGACGGUACCCAUGGAGGUAGCCCCUGCUAACUACGUGCCAGCAGCCGCGGUAAUACGUAGGGGGCAAGCGUUGUCCGGAAUUAUUGGGCGUAAAGGGUGCGUAGGCGGCCUUUUAAGUCAGAUGUGAAAGCCCACGGCUUAACCGGGGGACUGCAUUUGAAACUGGAGGGCUGGAGUAUCGGAGAGGGUAGUGGAAUUCCCAGUGUAGCGGUGGAAUGCGUAAAUAUUGGGAGGAACACCAGUGGCGAAGGCGACUACCUGGACGAAAACUGACGCUGAGGCACGAAAGCUAGGGGAGCAAAC